ACUCAAAUGAAUUGACGGGGACCCACACAAGCGGUGGAGCAUGGGGUUUAAUUCGAUGACAAGCGAAGCACCUCACCCAGACUUGACAUGUAGGGAAUCCUGCAGAAAUGCGGGAGUGCCGCAAGGAACCCUAACACAGGCGCUGCACGGUCGUCGUCAGCUCGUGCCUUGAGGUGUACUGUUCAGUCAGCCAACGAGCGCAACCCUGAUCCUAUGUUGUUUUUUCAUAGGAGACUGCCGCCUCCAAGGCGGAGGAAGGUCAGGAUGACGUCAGAUCAGCGUGGCCCUUAUGUCUGGGGCAACACCCGUGCUACAAUGGGCGGUACAAACGGCAGCGAACCCGCGAGGGGAAGCAAAUCCGAUAAAACCGCUCUCAGUUCAGAUUGAAGUCUGCAACUCGACUUCAUGAAGUUGGAAUCGCUAGUAACCGUGAAUCAGCUACGUCACGGUGAAUAUGUUCCUGGGUCUUGUACACACCGCCCGU
rnacentral:rRNA from 1 species